UAGUCCUGUCAUCCCGAUCGCUAGAACGGGAAGCUGCACUUUUUUUGUCGAGCGAGCGCACGCAGCGCUGCGUCGUGCGAUGCAUCGAAGCAUCGAACCGUCCAAGUGCGUCCCGGCCAGGUGGUUCGCCAUCACGUUUUUCCUCUUUUUUUUUGUUAUCCCCUUCGCGUUUCUCUCCUUGCCGCUUCCCUGUCGCAGCUCCUCCUCGCUGCCUCCUCCCAUCCACGUCGUGACCUCCUUCUCCUUCCUCCCGCCUGCUCCCGCUCCUCCUCUUCCCUCCCAUCCUCUUCUCGCACCGUUUCCCUUGGGUAAUUUCGGGCAAAAUCUCCACCGAAAUAGAGGGAGUUGAUGGCGAUUUCCGAUAAAACAAAGUGGGAUUACGAAAUCUCUAUUGUUGCCCUCCUCCUCUUCACUGUCACCGCGGCCUCCCGCCUCCUUCUCCCAGCCGCCGUGGCCUCCCUCCUCCUUGAAGCCUGUGGUCGCCCCGGCCUCUCUCCUCCUCAAAGAAUUUGGUUAUAAAUUGGGGAAGAUUCAGGUGAUGAAAUUGAGAGCUAAAGGGCAGAAUCGGCUUGUGGGGUAAAGGGAAUAACUCCCAUCCUUCAAUUUGAGCAGAAAUGCACGGGAGCGAGCGAAUCGGAGAAGCGUGGCGUGCACUGGAGGUGUAGGUUGAUGGCAGGGAAGAAGACGACCUAUCUUGG
rnacentral:lncRNA from 1 species